UACGAAGGGGGCUAGCGUUGUUCGGAAUUACUGGGCGUAAAGCGCGCGCAGGCGGUCUUCCAAGUCAGUGGUGAAAGCCUGGAGCUCAACUCCAGAACUGCCAUUGAAACUGUUAGACUUGAGUACGAGAGAGGUGAGUGGAAUUCCCAGUGUAGAGGUGAAAAUUCGUAGAUAUUGGGAAGAACACCAGUGGCGAAGGCGGCCAACUGGACGAAUACUGACGCUGAGACUCGAAAGCGUGGGGAGCAAACAGG
rnacentral:rRNA from 1 species